rnacentral:lncRNA from 1 species
GCGGCCGCCAUGUGGUGCCUGCACUGCAACUCGGAGAGGACCCAGUCCCUUCUGGAGCUAGAGCUUGACAGCGGAUGAGGAAAGAAUGGCUAGAAAAUGAAAAUGACGAAUUCAAGCUCUGCAGAAUAUAGACCUGGUCCUCUGGUAAAUGCAUGGACCCUCUUUCCCCUCCCUGGCAUUGCUGGGGAGCAGCUUGUUAGAAUGCAGCCUGAGGCAGAGGCAGGGAGGAGCAGGGGGCCAAGGAGGAGCCGGAGAGACAAAACCUGCAGGCCCCAGCUGUGCGCACUCCAGUGGCAGCAUUGGGUUCCCUGUACAGCCACCGUGGAUGGCUACAGAGGUGCACUACCAUCAGCAGAGUGGAAGGAGAAUCCUUGGAAGCUCUACCCAGUGCCUACAAUCUCAAAAACAUGUUCGCCAGCCCCAGGAAGUCAUCUGG